rnacentral:rRNA from 1 species
GGCGGCGUGCUUAACACAUGCAAGUCGAGCGGAAAGGCCCUUCGGGGUACUCGAGCGGCGAACGGGUGAGUAACACGUGAGUAACCUGCCCUCAACUUCGGGAUAAGCCUGGGAAACCGGGUCUAAUACCGGAUAUGACCUGCUGCGGAUCGUGGUGGGUGGAAAGUUUUUUCGGUUGGGGAUGGGCUCGCGGCCUAUCAGCUUGUUGGUGGGGUAGUGGCCUACCAAGGCGACGACGGGUAGCCGGCCUGAGAGGGCGACCGGCCACACUGGGACUGAGACACGGCCCAGACUCCUACGGGAGGCAGCAGUGGGGAAUAUUGCGCAAUGGGCGGAAGCCUGACGCAGCGACGCCGCGUGGGGGAUGACGGCCUUCGGGUUGUAAACCUCUUUCAGCAGGGACGAAGUUGACGUGUACCUGUAGAAGAAGCGCCGGCUAACUACGUGCCAGCAGCCGCGGUAAUACGUAGGGCGCGAGCGUUGUCCGGAAUUAUUGGGCGUAAAGAGCUCGUAGGUGGCUGGUCGCGUCUGCCGUGAAAGCCCAUGGCUUAACUGUGGGUCUGCGGUGGAUACGGGCCGGCUAGAGGUAGGUAGGGGCAAGCGGAAUUCCUGGUGUAGCGGUGAAAUGCGCAGAUAUCAGGAGGAACACCGGUGGCGAAGGCGGCUUGCUGGGCCUUACCUGACGCUGAGGAGCGAAAGCGUGGGGAGCGAACAGGAUUAGAUACCCUGGUAGUCCACGCUGUAAACGUUGGGCGCUAGGUGUGGGGUCCUUCCACGGGCUCCGUGCCGUAGCUAACGCAUUAAGCGCCCCGCCUGGGGAGUACGGCCGC